AGCAUUUCAGGGCACAUCAUCUUGCAGUUUCACCACUGGAAGAAGAGGAGCAUAAAGAUAAGCGACUCAGUUCAACCCUGAGUUUCAUGGGUCCUUGCCCUGGGCAAGGCAUUGGACAAGGAGGUUACUGCAUUGCAAGGAGCUGAGUAUUUCUUCUCUCUGAGAGGCAUGCAAGCAACCAGUAGGGACAAUACUGAUGUGCAAAGGCAGAACAGAGCUGGGAAAACCAGGAGAUCCCUUUGAUCCAGUGCUCUGGUCAAAGCCAGAAAGAAUACAACAUGGCACCAGGCUGAUGGUGUCCAGCUGUAGCUGUACUCUCAGAAACGGCAUUGAUACAAACCAGACUACUCAUGUCUGGAGGAAUCCUUCAGAGAAUAGCAGCCCAAAAAAGCAAUUCUGGCAUCCUUUUUCUCCCAUUCAGUUCUCGGUUUCUCCUUUCAUGAUCUCAAAACGCUGCUGAAUACAGAUGAGCCAAUAGUUAGUCCAAUCCCAGACGGUCUUUUGUUCAGCCCCCACCAUAUCGAGGACACAUCCUGAAUGUUAUCCAGAUUUAUGUAUGUAGGUUGGAGUCAGGCUCAUUUGGUUGGAGCAGAGGAGAGCAUUGCUCCAGCCACUCCUGAAUGGGGUGGGAGCCAGGCUGGUGUUGCCCCUGCGGCUGGAAUUGCACCCUGCAGGAGGGUUAACUUCCCGAAGAAGAAAUUCUGCCAAGUUUCUCAGAGAAAAUAAUGCAAUUCUCAUGAGAAUAAAGCCAGUGAUUUAGAUUUAUACCUGAUUUAUUUGUCUUGGUUUCUCACUUGCUAAAGACAUUUGCCAGUAUAUACCAGAUGACACAACCCACUUGAAAUUGGCUUUGAAACCUUUAUGCCCAUUUUAUCACUAUGGCCACAGCAGAUUCAGUGAGCAGUAGUAACAUUUCACAAAACAAACAAUGUAGUCUCAUUUCUUUCUAUAUGAAAACAAAUAAACUCAUUGUAAUCCCUACUACACUAUAUUUAAUGACUUGUAAAAAAGCUUUUACCAGCCUGUAUCUAAGAGACAUACUCAUAAGCAAAUACAUAAAAUCAAGUCCAUAAACAUGAAAAAAUAUUCCAGUGGUCACCAAUGGAUCAAAGUAAAUAUA